UACGGAGGGGGCGAGCGUUAUUCGGAAUUAUUGGGCGUAAAGGGCGCGUAGGCGGCUGUACAAGUCAAAGGUGAAAUCCCUCGGCUCAACUGAGGAACUGCCUUUGAAACUGUACGGCUUGAGGCCGGGAGGGGUAGCGGAAUUCCCAAUGUAGCGGUGAAAUGCGUAGAUAUUGGGAGGAACACCAGUGGCGAAGGCGGCUACCUGGACCGGUUCUGACGCUGAGGCGCGAAAAGCGUGGGUAGCAAACAGG
rnacentral:rRNA from 1 species